rnacentral:rRNA from 1 species
UACGGAGGAUCCAAGCGUUAUCCGGAAUCAUUGGGUUUAAAGGGUCCGUAGGCGGUUUAAUAAGUCAGUGGGGAAAGCCCAUCGCUUAACGAUGGAACGGCCAUUGAUACUGUUAGACUUGAAUUAUUGGGAAGUAACUAGAAUAUGUAGUGUAGCGGUGAAAUGCUUAGAUAUUACAUGGAAUACCAAUUGCGAAGGCAGGUUACUAUCAAUAUAUUGACGCUGAUGGACGAAAGCGUGGGGAGCGAACAGG